rnacentral:rRNA from 1 species
UGGGGAAUCUUCGACAAUGGGGGAAACCCUGAUGUAGCCAUGCCGCGUGAGUGACGAAGGCCCUAGGGUCGUAAAGCUCUUUCGCCAGGGAAGAUAAUGACGGUACCUGGUAAAGAAACCCCGGCUAACUCCGUGCCAGCAGCCGCGGUAAUACGGAGGGCGUUAGCGUUGUUCGGAAUUUCUGGGCGUAAAGCGCACGUAGGCGGACCAGUCAGUCAGGGGUGAAAUCCCAGGGCUCAACCCUGGAACAGCCUUUGAUACUGCUGGUCUCGAGUCCGAGAGAGGUGAGUGGAAUUCCGAGUGUAGAGGUGAAAUUCGUAGAUAUUCGGAGGAACACCAGUGGCGAAGGCGGCUCACUGGCUCGGUACUGACGCUGAGGUGCGAAAGCGUGGGGAGCAAACAGGAUUAGAUACCCCCGUAGUCC